CGAUUGCGAGCUGAAGGGAGAGAGGGAGCUCGAAGGGCGCUUUGCCGUCGCGCCGUCCGCCCGAGAGCCGCCGUCCGCCGUAGCGCUCCCGUCCGAACCAGGUUAACAAUGAUCGGAGCAGAGACUACACAAUCCCCAACACCCUGAUGAUGAAUCCUCAACCUUCAAUUCUAGGGCAGCAACCGGCUUUAGCUAUAAGCAACUUUGCUAGCAUGUGGUUCAUUCUCCUUUUCGUCUCAAUUUUCGCAACUGGUAUUCUUGAGCUCCGUUGGAGUGGUUUCAGCAUUGAGGAUUCGUGGAGGAAUGAGCAAUUCUGGGUCAUCGGUGGUACAUCUGCUCA